rnacentral:rRNA from 1 species
CGCGUAGGCGGGAUGGCAAGUCGGUCGUGAAAUCCCUGGGCUCAACUCGAGGGGGGUCGGCCGAUACUGCCGUUCUUGAGGGAUGCAGAGGAGACUGGAAUUCCCGGUGUAGCGGUGAAAUGUGUAGAGAUCGGGAGGAACACCGGUGGCGAAGGCGGGUCUCUGGGCAUUCCCUGACGCUGAGGCGCGAAAGCGUGGGGAGCAAACG